rnacentral:rRNA from 1 species
CCUACGGGAGGCAGCAGUGAGGAAUAUUGGUCAAUGGACGAGAGUCUGAACCAGCCAAGUAGCGUGAAGGAUGACUGCCCUAGGGGUUGUAAACUUCUUUUAUAUGGGAAUAAAAUGUUCCACGUGCUGGAUUGUGUAUGUACCAUAUGAAUAAGGAUCGGCUAACUCCGUGCCAGCAGCCGCGGUAAUACGGAGGAUCCGAGCGUUAUCCGGAUUUAUUGGGUUUAAAGGGAGCGUAGGUGGAUUGUUAAGUCAGUUGUGAAAGUUUGCGGCUCAACCGUAGAAUUGCAGUUGAAACUGGCAGUCUGGAGUGCAGUAGAGGUGGGCGGAAUUCGUGGUGUAGCGGUGAAAUGCUUAGAUAUCACGAAGAACUCCGAUGGCGAAGGCAGUUCACUGGACUGCAACUGACACUGAGGCUCGAAAGUGUGGGUAUCAAACAGGAUUAGAUACCCCAGUAGUC